UACCAAGGCCGUUUCUCCAGAAAUGUUCGAGAGAGUUGAGAUGCAUCGUCCCUUAUGCUUGAGACGGAAUGAUUAAGAACGAUUAUCCACCGAGUUAAACUAACCACCGAGUUAAAGUAACCACCAGGUUUUAUGAAAAGGAAAGACAAGACCAACCUAACUCUCUCACUACAAAACUAAGAAGGCGUCCAUUACCCUCUGUUACCGAGUAAGAGAUCGUCAAACGUUGUCUUGCCAAUAAGAAAAAAAGAACAGACCUGGGCCUUAUGAAAGUUGGGCUUCUGCCGAAGACUUUCCUGUUGGGCUGAGACAGAAUGUCUAAUGGGCUGCAGGGGAUGUAGAGCACUCUUGGGCCUGGCCCAAACUGAGAGACAUUCAGCAUGAUUAGCUCUGGUCCCGCAACAUCCAAGCAAAGAACUUAGUGGUGGGAUUUGAAUCCCACGGCGAGGAGUCAGGAGGUGCUGGUUUUGACUUCGAGGGGAGACGAC